CGUUGAAACACUGGUUUCCGUACGAUCACUGUAGUUGAGCAACGUAGAGCCUAGUCAGUAGCUAGAUGGGGAACCUCUUGGGAAUACAAGUUGCU